GACGAACGCUGGCGGCGUGCUUAACACAUGCAAGUCGAACGGAAAGGCCCUGCUUUUGUGGGGUGCUCGAGUGGCGAACGGGUGAGUAACACGUGAGUAACCUGCCCUUGACUUUGGGAUAACUUCAGGAAACUGGGGCUAAUACCGGAUAGGAGCUCCUGCUGCAUGGUGGGGGUUGGAAAGUUUCGGCGGUUGGGGAUGGACUCGCGGCUUAUCAGCUUGUUGGUGGGGUAGUGGCUUACCAAGGCUUUGACGGGUAGCCGGCCUGAGAGGGUGACCGGCCACGUUGACGCUGAGACGCGGCAGAGACUCCUACGGGAGGCAGGAGUGGAGAAUGUUGCACAAUGGGCGGGAGCGUGAUGCAGCAACGCCGCGUGCGAUAUGACGGUCUUCGGGUUGAAAACCUCUUUCGCCUGACGAAGCGUGAGUGACGGUAAUGGGUAAAGAAGCACCGGCUAACUACGUG
rnacentral:rRNA from 1 species